rnacentral:rRNA from 1 species
AACGAACGCUGGCGGCAUGCCUAACACAUGCAAGUCGAACGAGACCUUCGGGUCUAGUGGCGCACGGGUGCGUAACGCGGGGGAACCUGCCCUUAGGUUCGGAAUAACUCCCCGAAAGGGGUGCUAAUACCGGAUAAUGUCUUCGGACCAAAGAUUUAUCGCCUUUGGAUGGGCCCGCGUUGGAUUAGCUAGUUGGUAGGGUAAAAGCCUACCAAGGCGACGAUCCAUAGCUGGUCUGAGAGGAUGAUCAGCCACACUGGGACUGAGACACGGCCCAGACUCCUACGGGAGGCAGCAGUGGGGAAUAUUGGACAAUGGGCGAGAGCCUGAUCCAGCAAUGCCGCGUGAGUGAUGAAGGCCUUAGGGUUGUAAAGCUCUUUUACCCGGGAUGAUAAUGACAGUACCGGGAGAAUAAGCUCCGGCUAACUCCGUG